AUUGAACGCUGGCGGCAUGCCUUACACAUGCAAGUCGAACGGCAGCAUGGAGAGCUUGCUCUCUGAUGGCGAGUGGCGAACGGGUGAGUAAUGCAUCGGAACGUACCGUGUAAUGGGGGAUAACGUAGCGAAAGUUACGCUAAUACCGCAUACGACCUGAGGGUGAAAGCAGGGGAUCGCAAGACCUUGCGUUAUACGAGCGGCCGAUGUCAGAUUAGCUAGUUGGUGAGGUAAAGGCUCACCAAGGCGACGAUCUGUGGCGGGUCUGAGAGGAUGAUCCGCCGCACUGGGACGGAGAAACGGCCCAGACUCCUACGGGAGGCAGCAGUGGGGAAUUUUGGACAAUGGGGGCAACCCUGAUCCAGCCAUGCCGCGUGAGUGAAGAAGGCCUUCGGGUUGUAAAGCUCUUUCGGCCGGGAAGAAAUCGCACAGGCUAAUACUCUGUGUGGAUGACGGUACCGGCAUAAGAAGCACCGGCUAACUACGUGCCAGCAGCCGCGGUAA
rnacentral:rRNA from 1 species